rnacentral:tRNA from 1 species
AGCCCUGUAGUGUAGUGGUCAAGCAUGGGGGAUUUUGGGUCCCUUGACCCAGGUUCAAAUCCUGGCAGGGCUA